rnacentral:rRNA from 1 species
AGUGAACGCUGGCGGUAGGCCUAACACAUGCAAGUCGAACGGCAGCACAGUAAGAGCUUGCUCUUACGGGUGGCGAGUGGCGGACGGGUGAGGAAUACAUCGGAAUCUACUUUUUCGUGGGGGAUAACGUAGGGAAACUUACGCUAAUACCGCAUACGACCUCCGGGUGAAAGCAGGGGAUCUUCGGACCUUGCGCGAUUGAAUGAGCCGAUGUCGGAUUAGCUAGUUGGCGGGGUAAAGGCCCACCAAGGCGACGAUCCGUCGCUGGUCUGAGAGGAUGAUCAGCCACACUGGAACUGAGACACGGUCCAGACUCCUACGGGAGGCAGCAGUGGGGAAUAUUGGACAAUGGGCGCAAGCCUGAUCCAGCCAUACCGCGUGGGUGAAGAAGGCCUUCGGGUUGUAAAGCCCUUUUGUUGGGAAAGAAAAGCAGCAGGUUAAUACCCCGCUGUUCUGACGGUACCCAAAGAAUAAGCACCGGCUAACUUCGUG